rnacentral:rRNA from 1 species
GACGAACGCUGGCGGCGUGCUUAACACAUGCAAGUCGAACGGAAAGGCCCUGCUUUUGUGGGGUGCUCGAGUGGCGAACGGGUGAGUAACACGUGAGUAACCUGCCCUUGACUUUGGGAUAACUUCAGGAAACUGGGGCUAAUACCGGAUAGGAGCUCCUGCUGCAUGGUGGGGGUUGGAAAGUUUCGGCGGUUGGGGAUGGACUCGCGGCUUAUCAGCUUGUUGGUGGGGUAGUGGCUUACCGAGGCUUUGACGGGUAGCCGGCCUGAGAAGGUGACCGGGCACAAUGGGACUGAGAUACGGGCCAGACGCCUACGGGAGGCAGCAGUGGGGAAUAUUGCACAAUGGGCGGAAGACUGAUGCAGCAACGCCGCGUGCGAGAUGACGGCCUUCGGGUGGUAAACCGCUUUCGCCUGUGACGAAGCGUUAUUGACGGUAACGGGUAAAGAAGCACCGGCUAACUACGUG